rnacentral:rRNA from 1 species
UACGGAGGGAGCUAGCGUUGUUCGGAAUUACUGGGCGUAAAGCGCACGUAGGCGGCUUUGUAAGUUAGAGGUGAAAGCCCGGGGCUCAACUCCGGAACUGCCUUUAAGACUGCAUCGCUUGAAUCCAGGAGAGGUGAGUGGAAUUCCCAGUGUAGCGGUGAAAUGCGUAGAUAUUGGGAGGAACACCAGUGGCGAAGGCAAUCCCCUGGACCUGUACUGACGCUCAUGCACGAAAGCGUGGGGAGCAAACAGG